AGAGGUGACACCUCUAUUUCUCACAGCCUGGAAGGUAUAUGGGAAGAUUAGCAUGGCCCCUGUGCCAAGAUGACACACAAAUUUGUGAAGUGGUCCAUAUUUGG
ensembl:snRNA U6 U6 spliceosomal RNA